CCAGCAGCUGCGGUAAUUCCAGCUCCAAUAGCGUAUAUUAAAGUUGUUGCAGUUAAAAAGCUCGUAGUUGGAUUUCUGGUAGGAUGACUGUGCCCUCAGUAGAGCGUGCGCAGGCGUCUUGCCAUCCUUCUGUUAACCUUUGAGAGCUUCAUCGCUCUCUUUGGGGCUCAGAUAUUUUACCUUGAGAAAAUUAGAGUGUUUCAGGCAGGCUAGCGCCGGAAUACAUUAGCAUGGAAUAAUAGAAUAGGACUUUUGCCUCUUCUGUUGGUCAUGGGGUUCGAGUAAUGAUUAAUAGGGACAGUCGGGGGCAUUCGUAUUUCAUUGUCAGAGGUGAAAUUCUUGGAUUUAGGAAAGACGAACUUCUGCGAAAGCAUUUGCCAAGGAUGUUUUCAUUAAUCAAGUACGAAAGU
rnacentral:rRNA from 1 species